ACUUUCCCUCUGUGCGUCCUUUGGCAAUGACUGGCAGCUCAUCUUUGUUAUCCCGCUGUCCCUGGGGACCAGGAGCUCUUGUGCAAGUCUCUCUGCAAUGGGGUUUAGCUUGGAUUCUGUGGAACAAUGGCAUCAGAAACCAGCUUUGUUGCCAACUCCUCCCUGGAAUUAUGGGACCAUGGAAUUGUUUAGGUUGGAAAAGCACUUUAAGAUCAUCAAGUCCAACCAUUAACCCAGCACUGCCAAGGCCACCACUAACCCAUGUCCACAAAUGCCACAUCUACACGUGUUUGAACACUUGCAGAGGUGGUGAUUCUGGCACUUCCAUGGGCAGGAUCCCUUAGGGCUCCGUUCUUGGUGGGACAGCGAUGCUGAAUGCCACCUCAGCUCUACCCUUCCCACUCAGGAAUCUGGAAGGAGUGUGGCUGAAAAAUGAGAAUUUGGGGCUUCCCAUGGCCGUGGGACAGCUCUCCAUCCCUGAGGAGCAGGAAAACUUGGAUGUUUGGCCUUUUUGCCCACUGCAGGGGAAACUUUCCAUCGUGAUUUUCCUUUCCUCUCCUCUUUGGAGCUAAAACUCUCCUGAAUAAACAAGAAUGUGUGCUGGUCAA